rnacentral:rRNA from 1 species
CCUACGGGAGGCAGCAGUGGGGAAUCUUGCGCAAUGGGCGAAAGCCUGACGCAGCAACGCCGCGUGCGGGAUGAAGGCCUUCGGGUUGUAAACCGCUUUCAGCAGGGAAGAAAUUGACGGUACCUGCAGAAGAAGCCCCGGCCAACUACGUGCCAGCAGCCGCGGUAACACGUAGGGGGCGAGCGUUGUCCGGAUUUAUUGGGCGUAAAGAGCUCGUAGGCGGUUCGGUAAGUCGGGUGUGAAACCUCCAGGCUCAACCUGGAGACGCCACCUGAAACUGCUGUGACUAGAGUCCGGUAGGGGAGUGUGGAACUCCUGGUGUAGCGGUGAAAUGCGCAGAUAUCAGGAAGAACACCAGCGGCGAAGGCGGCACUCUGGGCCGGUACUGACGCUGAGGAGCGAAAGCGUGGGUAGCAAACAGGAUUAGAUACCCUGGUAGUCCACGCCGUAAACGUUGGGCACUAGGUGUGGGUCUCACCAACGAGAUCCGUGCCGCAGCACGACAUAGUGCCCGCCGUCGGGAGGUACGGCCGGCCGACGGACGUAAACCGUUAAACGGUAAGUUAGUACGGCGUGAGACGUGCCGACGGACGACGACGACGGGAGGUAGG